rfam:Stegodyphus mimosarum contig84241, whole genome shotgun sequence.
GCCUUCGUGAUGUAGAGGUCAGCAGACUCGACGUGUAACCGAGAGGUCCGUGGUUCGAUUCCCGGCGAGGGCA